GCCCCGUGGUGUAUAUAUCAUGUUGGAUUGCAAAUCCAGAGAUGCAGGCUAAUUGCCUGCCGGGGCUU
rnacentral:tRNA from 1 species